rnacentral:rRNA from 1 species
GACGAACGCUGGCGGCGUGCCUAAUACAUGCAAGUAGAACGCUGAAGAGAGGAGCUUGCUCUUCUUGGAUGAGUUGCGAACGGGUGAGUAACGCGUAGGUAACCUGCCUUGUAGCGGGGGAUAACUAUUGGAAACGAUAGCUAAUACCGCAUAACAAUGGAUGACACAUGUCAUUUAUUUGAAAGGGGCAAUUGCUCCACUACAAGAUGGACCUGCGUUGUAUUAGCUAGUAGGUGAGGUAACGGCUCACCUAGGCGACGAUACAUAGCCGACCUGAGAGGGUGAUCGGCCACACUGGGACUGAGACACGGCCCAGACUCCUACGGGAGGCAGCAGUAGGGAAUCUUCGGCAAUGAGGGCAACCCUGACCGAGCAACGCCGCGUGAGUGAAGAAGGUUUUCGGAUCGUAAAGCUCUGUUGUAAGUCAAGAACGAGUGUGAGAGUGGAAAGUUCACACUGUGACGGUAGCUUACCAGAAAGGGACGGCUAACUACGUGCCAGCAGCCGCGGUAAUACGUAGGUCCCGAGCGUUGUCCGGAUUUAUUGGGCGUAAAGCGAGCGCAGGCGGUUUGAUAAGUCUGAAGUUAAAGGCUGUGGCUCAACCAUAGUUCGCUUUGGAAACUGUCAAACUUGAGUGCAGAAGGGGAGAGUGGAAUUCCAUGUGUAGCGGUGAAAUGCGUAGAUAUAUGGAGGAACACCGGUGGCGAAAGCGGCUCUCUGGUCUGUAACUGACGCUGAGGCUCGAAAGCGUGGGGAGCGAACAGGAUUAGAUACCCUGGUAGUCCACGCCGUAAACGAUGAGUGCUAGGUGUUGGAUCCUUUCCGGGAUUCAGUGCCGCAGCUAACGCAUUAAGCACUCCGCCUGGGGAGUACGACCGCAAGGUUGAAACUCAAAGGAAUUGACGGGGGCCCGCACAAGCGGUGGAGCAUGUGGUUUAAUUCGAAGCAACGCGAAGAACCUUACCAGGUCUUGACAUCCCGAUGCUAUUUCUAGAGAUAGAAAGUUACUUCGGUACAUCGGUGACAGGUGGUGCAUGGUUGUCGUCAGCUCGUGUCGUGAGAUGUUGGGUUAAGUCCCGCAACGAGCGCAACCCCUAUUGUUAGUUGCCAUCAUUCAGUUGGGCACUCUAGCGAGACUGCCGGUAAUAAACCGGAGGAAGGUGGGGAUGACGUCAAAUCAUCAUGCCCCUUAUGACCUGGGCUACACACGUGCUACAAUGGUUGGUACAACGAGUUGCGAGUCGGUGACGGCAAGCUAAUCUCUUAAAGCCAAUCUCAGUCCGGAUUGUAGGCUGCAACUCGCCUACAUGAAGUCGGAAUCGCUAGUAAUCGCGGAUCAGCACGCCGCGGUGAAUACGUUCCCGGGCCU